UAGCCGUAAACUAUGCGCGUUAGGUGUAUCGGUGACCACGAGUUACCGAGGUGCCGAAGGGAAACCGUGAAACGUGCCGCCUGGGAAGUACGGUCGCAAGGCUGAAACUUAAAGGAAUUGGCGGGGGAGCACCACAACAGGUGGAGCCUGCGGUUUAAUUGGACUCAACGCCGGGAAGCUCACCGGAUAGGACAGCAGAAUGAUUGCCGGGCUGAAGACCCUGCAUGACUAGCUGAGAGGAGGUGCAUGGCGUAGACGUCU
rnacentral:rRNA from 1 species